UGUGUGUGUAUCUGUGUGUCCUUGUUCUGCUUGAAAAGUGUUUGUGUGUGUCCUAUAUUACCUACAGCAGUGUAGAGUUGUGUGGUGUGUGUCAAAGCCUUUGAAUGUAUACACUAUCUGGCCCCAAUUGGAAAAGGGUGUGUGUGGUGUGUGUUGUGGUCCCAUUCUAAACCACAUAGCCAGGCAAUCAGGGUUGAUGGAUAGGCCUACCCUGGAGAGAGGCCUCCUCUGCCUUGUGUCUCUGGGGAUUAUACUGCUCAGCCAUCUCUCCUUACUCAUCACAUACACACACACACACACACACAAACCCAUGCGCUGAUUAAUGGUGGGAUGUGUGUGUUUGUUUAUACAGUCUUCCCGGGAUUAGGGAAGGCUAUGUCGGGAAAGUCGGGAAUAACAGGGUAACAGCCUGACAGCAGACUCUGCUAACAAGGAAACCACUAUCAAAACAAGAUACUCCAUGAACCGAAGGGACAUUGAGCACAUCUUCCCUUUCUUCAUGUCACCAGCCCAAAUAAAGUUCCCACGGACAGUCAUUUUCCAACCAUGUGUCAGGUCUGCAGUAAACAUGGCGCUCAGUGGGACUCAUCCAUGCCCAGAACAAAUCCCGACAACUUGACUGAAGAAUCUGACCUCCUUUUCUUCUUCAAAUAUCUGAAAGGUGAAGCCGGGAACACUUUACAUAUGUUAAUUUGUGCAUACAGACCUAGAGAUAUUGCAG
ensembl:lncRNA